CCAGAAGGUGGUUAUCGGCAAGCCAGGACAGGAGUUGUCAGCAGAAACUAUUGUGAUGGUACCCUGAUCUCAGACUUCCACCCUCCAGAAGGGGGACUCCGGUUCGAUUUCUGGUCAGGGAAUUAAGGCCCCACAUUCCACUGGGAAACUAAGCUUGCAUGCCGCAAAUGGAGAGCCCACACCCUGCAACCAAAGAUCCUGUGUGCUGCAACUAAGACCCAAUGCAGCCAAAAAUAAGCUGCCUGUCUCUCCUGUCUCGCCUCCUGUGUGAUGAUGCCUAAGGAUCGGAGAGAGGUUUCCAUUUUGAAUCUCUGCUGACGGCACAAGCAGCCUCUGCUUCCCUACAAAAAAAUUCCUCAAGAUGUUGGGACAACUGUAUACGCGAAGUUGAACAAUGGAUCCACAUGGUUAUAAAUGGCUGUUCUAUUCUCAGAAAGCUCAAAAAUACUUAAAAUCCUCAAUCACAGUUGUCCCUUUUAACCCUUCUUGCUGAUGUUUUGUUGCCUUUUGAAUUUCAUUUUAUUUUAUUUUGCAAUUAGACAUGUGAGGCUGAAGUCCAGUGGCCGGCCAGUAGAGAUUAGACUUCCUGUGGGGCUCCUAAUGGUUUCCAUCUGUAUCUACAACGGGGUUAACUUUACAGCUUUCUAAAAAUCACUGGUAUCAGUCCAUCUGACUUCCCAGGUGGGGCAGUGGUAAAGAAUCCGUCUGCUAAGGCAGGAGAUGCCAGCGAUGCGGGUUCCAUCCCUGG